rnacentral:rRNA from 1 species
CGGGGGGGGCAAGCGUUGUUCGGAAUUACUGGGCGUAAAGGGCGCGUAGGCGGUCUGCUAAGUUGGAUGUGAAAACUCUGGGCUUAACCCAGAGCCUGCAUUCAAUACUGACAGGCUAGAGUUCUGGAGGGGAUAGCGGAAUUCCUGGUGUAGCGGUGAAAUGCGUAGAUAUCAGGAGGAACACCGGUGGCGAAGGCGGCUAUCUGGACAGAGUCUGACGCUGAGGCGCGAAAGCUAGGGGAGCAAACAGGAUUAGAUACCCUGGUAGUCCUAGCCCUAAACGAUGGAUACUUGGUGUAGCUGGGAUUGAAUCCAGCUGUGCCGAAGCUAACGCAUUAAGUAUCCCGCUGGGGAGUACGGUCGCAAGGCUG